AUAAACAUUUUAACCCAUUUGUUUUCUGUCGUAUAUUCUCACGUGAUCAAAUAAAUCAAUAGAGUGAUGGUGCUAAAUGGUAUAAUGGAGCCAUUGGCAAGCACGAAGCACGAAGCAUCACCCUUAAGCAUAUCCCGAAAACGACCAAAAAGGAGAAGGAACAGAAAGGGGAGAGAGAACAAGUUCCAGUCACUAUCCCGACAUACAUAAUCAACCAAAUCUCACAUAUUAAAACAACGUGUGAAUAUAUAUAUAUAUAUAUAUAUAUAUAUAUAUAUUCAACCAUGCACUCGUAUUUGCGCGUAUAUACGUGUCCUCAUGUAUAAUAGCAUGGCUUUUUGAAUUUGUGUAUACAAAAAAAUAUAAAGAUAAUUACAUAAUUCUAUUACA